UACGGGGGGAGCAAGCGUUGUUCGGAUUUACUGGGCGUAAAGGGCGCGUAGGCGGUCGUGACAAGUCACUUGUGAAAUCUCCGGGCUUAACUCGGAACGGUCAAGUGAUACUGUCGGACUAGAGUACAGAAGGGCAACUGGAAUUCUCGGUGUAGCGGUGAAAUGCGUAGAUAUCGAGAGGAACACCUGCGGCAAAGGCGGGUUGCUGGGCUGAUACUGACGCUGAGGCGCGAAAGCCAGGGGAGCGAACGGG
rnacentral:rRNA from 1 species